rnacentral:rRNA from 1 species
UAGCGGAGGAAAAGAAACCAACAGGGAUUGCCCUAGUAACGGCGAGUGAAGCGGCAACAGCUCAAAUUUGAAAUCUGGCCUCGGCCCGAGUUGUAAUUUGCAGAGGAUGCUUCUGGCGCGGUGCCUUCCGAGUUCCCUGGAACGGGACGCCACAGAGGGUGAGAGCCCCGUAUGGUCGGACACCAAGCCUGUGUGAAGCUCCUUCGACGAGUCGAGUAGUUUGGGAAUGCUGCUCUAAAUGGGAGGUAAAUCUCUUCUAAAGCUAAAUACCGGCCAGAGACCGAUAGCGCACAAGUAGAGUGAUCGAAAGAUGAAAAGCACCUUGAAAAGGGGGUUAAAUAGUACGUGAAAUUGUUGAAAGGGAAGCACUUAUGACCAGACUUGGGCCGGGCGGCUCAUCAGGGGUUCUCCCCUGUGCACUCCGCCCGGCACAGGCCAGCAUCGGUUCUCGUGGGGGGAUAAGACCGUCAGGAACGUAGCACCCUCCGGGGUGUGUUAUAGCCUGGCGGACGAUACCCCCGUGGG